rnacentral:lncRNA from 1 species
AUGGAGGCCCUGCCCUCCUCCGUGGAGUGGUACGCCCUAUGGUUUCCUUUGACGCAGGCGGGCGUUUGGAAGGUGUGGCUGUGUGAGUUCUGGCUGCUACUGCUGGGUUCCGGUUUGAAAGCGCAUCUUUUGCCGGACGAGGAGGACGUAACGUUUAUCAAUGAGUACGUGAACCUCCACAAUGAGCUCCGGGGCAACGUCUUGCCCCGAGGGGCUAACUUGCGCUUCAUGACUUGGGAUGUAGCUUUGUCACGGACUGCUAGAGCAUGGGGGAAAAAAUGUGUGUUUGAGCGUAAUAUUCAUUUAGAAGAACUAUAUAUGGCCCAUCCUAAAUUUAAUGGUAUUGGUGAAAAUAUAUGGGUCGGCCCUGAAAAUGAAUUUACUGCAAGUAUUGCUAUCAGAAGUUGGUUUCAACAGAGGAAAAAGUACAAUUUUGAAAAGAACAGUUGCUCUGAUAACUGUUCUAACUAUCUACAGCUUGUUUGGGACAGGUCUUACAAAGUCGGUUGUGCUGUUACUCCAUGUUCAAGAAUUGGACGUAUUAAACAUGCAGCACUUUUCAUAUGCAACUAUGCACCAGGAGGAGGUCUGUCGAGAAGGCCUUAUCAGCGAGGAUUAAUGUGCUCUCAAUGCAGCAGCUAUGACAGAUGCACAGACUUUCUAUGCAGCAAUGCAGAUCGUGACCAAGCCAUAUAUUACCGAUAUUGGUAUCCAAGAUGGGAAGUACCCCGACCAAUUGUAUGUGAUCCGCUGUGCUUAUUGAUUUUAUUUCUGAGAAUGAUGUGUUUUUCACUGAGUGCCACAAUUGUCUUGAUAAUACAGUCUUAUUUUCCAAAUAUAUUAGUGGAAGAAGAGAUGGUUUUUACCCCUGUGGAAACUAGGCCAGCAAAAGAGGGAAAGAAAGAGAAGCAGGUGGAGGAGGAGGAGGAAGAAGAGGAGGAGGAGCGGGGAGAAGGGGAGGAGGAAGAAGAGGAGGAGGAGGGGAGAAGGGGAGGAGGAAGAAGAGGAGGAGGGGGAGAAGGGGAGGAGGAAGAAGAGGAGGAGGGGGGAGAAGGGGAAGAGGAAGAAGAGGAGGAGGAGGGGGGAGAAGGGGAAGAGGAAGAAGAGGAGGAGGGGGGGGGAGAAGGGGAAGAGGAAGAAGAGGAGGAAGAGGAGAAGGGGGGAGAGGAGGGAGCGGAGGAAGAGAAGGAGGGGGGAGAGGAGGGGGGAGAGGAGGGGGAAGAAGAGGGAUAA